GUGGUUUGAAAUAAACGUGUUUUUUUCUCGUGCCGAAAACUAUGUGUGACGAAAAACAUGAGCAACGGAUAAACAUAAAAUUUUCUCGUUAAACUAAAAAAAUCUCCAACUGAGUGCUAUAAGUUGUUAAAAGAGGCCUAUAGUGAGGAUUUCCUAUCUCGGGCGCGUGUUUUUGAGUGGCAUAAAUUAUUUUCUGAAGGUCGAGAGUGCACCGGAAUCCAAUUCAGU